rnacentral:rRNA from 1 species
GCCUAAUACAUGCAAGUCGAACGAUGAAGCUUCUAGCUUGCUAGAAUGCUGAUUAGUGGCGCACGGGUGAGUAACGCAUAGGUUAUGUGCCUCUUAGUUUGGGAUAGCCAUUGGAAACGAUGAUUAAUACCAGAUACUCCCUACGGGGGAAAGAUUUAUCGCUAAGAGAUCAGCCUAUGUCCUAUCAGCUUGUUGGUAAGGUAAUGGCUUACCAAGGCUAUGACGGGUAUCCGGCCUGAGAGGGUGAACGGACACACUGGAACUGAGACACGGUCCAGACUCCUACGGGAGGCAGCAGUAGGGAAUAUUGCUCAAUGGGGGAAACCCUGAAGCAGCAACGCCGCGUGGAGGAUGAAGGUUUUAGGAUUGUAAACUCCUUUUGUUAGAGAAGAUAAUGACGGUAUCUAACGAAUAAGCACCGGCUAACUCCGUGCCAGCAGCCGCGGUAAUACGGAGGGUGCAAGCGUUACUCGGAAUCACUGGGCGUAAAGAGCGCGUAGGCGGGAUAGUCAGUCAGGUGUGAAAUCCUAUGGCUUAACCAUAGAACUGCAUUUGAAACUACUAUUCUAGAGUGUGGGAGAGGUAGGUGGAAUUCUUGGUGUAGGGGUAAAAUCCGUAGAGAUCAAGAGGAAUACUCAUUGCGAAGGCGACCUGCUGGAACAUUACUGACGCUGAUUGCGCGAAAGCGUGGGGAGCAAACAGGAUUAGAUACCCUGGUAGUCCACGCCCUAAACGAUGGAUGCUAGUUGUUGGAGGGCUUAGUCUCUCCAGUAAUGCAGCUAACGCAUUAAGCAUCCCGCCUGGGGAGUACGGUCGCAAGAUUAAAACUCAAAGGAAUAGACGGGGACCCGCACAAGCGGUGGAGCAUGUGGUUUAAUUCGAAGAUACACGAAGAACCUUACCUAGGCUUGACAUUGAGAGAAUCCGCUAGAAAUAGUGGAGUGUCUGGCUUGCCAGACCUUGAAAACAGGUGCUGCACGGCUGUCGUCAGCUCGUGUCGUGAGAUGUUGGGUUAAGUCCCGCAACGAGCGCAACCCCCUUUCUUAGUUGCUAACAGGUUAUGCUGAGAACUCUAAGGAUACUGCCUCCGUAAGGAGGAGGAAGGUGGGGACGACGUCAAGUCAUCAUGGCCCUUACGCCUAGGGCUACACACGUGCUACAAUGGGGUGCACAAAGAGAAGCAAUACUGCGAAGUGGAGCCAAUCUUCAAAACACCUCUCAGUUCGGAUUGUAGGCUGCAACUCGCCUGCAUGAAGCUGGAAUCGCUAGUAAUCGCAAAUCAGCCAUGUUGCGGUGAAUACGUUCCCGGGUCUUGUACUCACCGCCCGUCACACCAUGGGAGUUGUGUUUGCCUUAAGUCAGGAUGCUAAA